rnacentral:tRNA from 1 species
GAGGGUGUAGCUCAGUGGUUAAGAGCACAUGCUUAGCAUGCCUGAGGUCCUGGGUUCCAUCCCCAGCGCCUCCA